rnacentral:Y_RNA from 1 species
GGUUGGUCCGAGUGCAGUGGUGUUUACAACUAAUUGAUCACAACCAGUUACAGAUUCCUUUGUUCCUUCUCCAUUCCCACUGCUCCACUUGACCAGCCUAAA